AUGCUGGCCACCAGCCUGCUGGGAGCAGCCAUUGCCUCCAUCUGUCUUGGAAUCAGCAUGGCCCAGAAGGUAAUUCAARCUCAGACUGCAAUUUCUGUGGUGGAGAAGGAGGCUGUGACCUUGCACUGUGUGUAUGAAACCAGCGAUCCUUCUUAUUAUUUAUUCUGGUACAAACAACUACCCAGUGGGAAACUGACUUUCCUUAUUCGUCAGGACUCUUACAAUAAGCAAAAUGCAACAGAGGGUCGCUAUUCCCUCAACUUCCAGAAGGCAUCCAGUUCCAUCCAGCUCACCAUCACAGCCUCACAGCUCAUGGAUGCAGCAGUGUAUUUCUGURCCCUGAGAGAGGCCACAGUGAGAGAGCUGCCUGUGGGAGUCCCACAAAAACCUCAAGAAGAGCUAGGGCCUCUGGGGGGAGACCCCACCACGGACAGGGAGGAGCAGGGGCUGUGUCAGCACAG